ACCCCUCUGUCAGUUGAUUGGAGAGAGUGGAUGUCCAUCAGGGUCACGCUCCGCGGCAAAGAGCGGCGAAACGCGAAGGAGACGGCUUUCCGCCGGAGGGUAGACCAGCCGGCUGCGACAGCCCGGGUGCCUGGGAAAAGCACUGGGCGGGGUUUCGCGGUUCCGUGGAACGCCGGGAAGGGGUCACUCCCAGAUGAAAGUUCCGGUUCCGGUAUAGGUGGUGGUUGAGUUGCCACGGCAACGCGGUUGGCGGGAGCCGGGUUCCUGCGUUACAGGCGGUCGCUGGGCGGGAGGAGGCCUGGUGCAUCUUUCUCAGCUUAGAUUCGUUGAUUCUAGGUAAAUCCAAGGAACAAGCAUCAAGAACAGAAGUAUCCAGGAAAUGGCGUGAUGCAGAAGGAGAACCGUUGUUUCAGAAGUCCAGCAUGUGGUACACUUAACAGUAGAGAAUGCAUUAUUUCCAAAACCACCUAACUUUUACUCCUGCUUAUGUUAUAGUCAAGGGAGAAGGAUUUACAAACUGGUGUUCUGAGGAUCUGGAGACAUAGAGCAGUAAUGACAUCCCUUACCUAGAGUGUAACAUUGGCCUCGGAAGCAUAGUUUUCCCAGUUGUCAGGUAUUUUAUUAAGUUGAGCAUUCAGCUGUCAUUAAAGAUUAGGAGUAAUCCUUGCUCAGGAAGAAGACAAAGCCUGUAUUUAGUAGAGUUGCUGCACUCAGUAUGACAAGACCAUACGUGAAAUAGACAGCUGUUUUUAUAAAUACUCCUGGCCAUGGGAGUGGCCUGAGUUUUGCUAAUCGCUGUUUCCCACACCAGUGGGCUCAGCCUAAGACAGGAAGGAAGGCCUUGCUACAGCCCUCACCGGUCAUAGGUCCGGCUCUCCUCCCUGUAAAGUCUUUGCAUUGAGGCCCAACUCCAGACCUCUGCUGGACUUUGUUCUGUUGAGAAUCUCAUUUUAUUCUGAGGAAAAUAGCCCAAGUCGUAUCUCCUAUAAGCAGAUGGUUUCCGUAACUCAAAGUUACCAUCCAGCAGCUUCUGAGAAAGUGCCCGGACCACAGAGUACAGAAAGCAAGGAGUCAGUGCUGUCGUGGGUGAAACCUAUUAGGAAGAUUUAUCUGUUAGCAGAAGUUUAUGGCCCCUUCUGAUAGUCACUGAGUUUGCAGCCAAACACUUGGACAAUUUUAUUAUUUUCUUUGAAUGAUUGCUAAGAUGUAUUGCCAAGGCCUUAAAUACUCUAUGAUGAGUCAGAGUCCCACUCGGUGCUUCCACCUUUGAGCCUUAGUAAUUUACUGCCUUCAAAAUUAAACCUGGCUGCCGUGGGAAUCCCUUGCUCCAGCCUCCUGCCCCAGCUCACCUAGCGAAGGGGGAGAAGCCGCCGCUUCAGGGAGGGGAGGGAGGUUGGAAAUGGGGUGAGACGUAAGCUGUUCAUUUUCUUUUACAGGAAAAAAAUGGGAGGAUUUUAAAUACUUUUCUGCUCUUAUGGCCUGAAAAAUUCCAUUUGUUAAUUUUAACUUUAAACUUUUUGAAAGUGUAGCCUACUGAGAUAUAGUUAACUGUUUUCAAAUUUCAGUGAGCCAGAGUUUCAGAGUUCUAAUAAAAGACUG